AGAGAACAAACUACCAAUUAACGAGCGAGGAAACAGGGCCAGAGAAUUGGAACAAAAUACAAGGCUGCCUCUGAAAGGAAUAUCUUUGUGCUGAUGUGUCCAUCAAGAGAACAUACACAGAAGUGACACUUGCCAGUAAUUUGCAAGCAGAUGGAACUUCAAUAUGGCAAUAGAGAAAGAAUCAAUUAGACCAGAGUCUCCUCAGGAAGACUUUCUAUAGGUGGACGGUCCCCUGGAGAGCCCGCUGUGUUGGAAGAUGUAGAAUAUUCAUAUAUCUGGUGAGCAUCUGCUAGAUGCCAGGGUUGGGGAGAGUCAAGUUGAAGCAAGCAUGAACCCUCAAGGACCUACCAUUUCAAGGCAAGAAAUAGAUACAAAUACAGCGUAAUUAUCUCUCCAAUUAAAGAGCAACCAAGGGACAACUGAACUGGAGGUUCUGCAGAAUUACAACUAAGCACGCAGCCGAGGAAUCUACUCAGCUUUGAUCUCUUAUCGCUCUGCACACACAGCCCUUUCUCUGUAAGGCUAGCUGCUCUCAGCAUCACUGUGUCUAAUCAAACGUGUCACACCUCCACUGAGAAAAUAUUUACUGGAUAGCUACUAGACAUAAGGAUGCAGAAAUGAAUUAGAAAAAUUCCUCGCCCUUGUUCAAAGCUAUGCUGGCUCUUAGAACAUCUGAGCCCCCACUGUUUCAUCUUUAGAGGAUCCCAGCUGCUGGGGUGUGAGGCCAGUGCUGGAGCCAGCAGUCUCUGACCCAGAAGGGACCUGAGGUGCUAAAGAAAAACACAGAGAGGACGGUGCCACUGGAAGUCAUGCAGCCGCAAGUCAAGAAAUGUCAUGAGUGGCUCCUCUCCAGAAACUAGGAGAGGAGCAUGGGGCAGGUUUUCUCCUAGUGCCUUCAGAGACACAUGGCCCUGCCGACACCUUGAGUUUGGAUUUUUGGCCUCCAGAACUGGGUACAAGCUGGAAAAGGGGAAAAUGAAUCAUGCUACAGGCCAAGUGUCCAUCACUGAUUCCCAGAGAUGCCCUUUGUGUGGUAGGCACUUCCAUGUGGACUCGCUACAGAGUUUGGAGUUCCUGAACAACAUGGACAGUGUUAAUUUGGAUUCCAUGCUUCAUGGCACAGAAUUGGAGCACUAACUACUCAGUGAUGACUUUCUCUUCCUCUAGCUAAGGUGAUCAACAAGUUUCCUUGUUCUUUCUCCAAGUAGUAGAAGAAAGUAAAGGUCAUAAGACCCUAAUUCCAGAGGGCCCUACCCUAUAACCAGAAGGAAGAACUAUUGCACAGAGAAUCUAAGAAGAAUCUAGACAGACAGCCCUUGCUGGAUUUCUCCACUCUGUUAGCAUUCGAUCAUUUGCCUUUUGUCCAGUCAUAUUUCUGCAUGGCUGUCCAUACUUUGUUGAACCUAAGCACAAAAUGGAAAGUUUUCCCUGUAUCUUUGGGUCGUCAU
rnacentral:lncRNA from 1 species